GAUGAACGCUGGCGGCGUGCCUAAUACAUGCAAGUAGAACGCUGAAGGAGGAGCUUGCUCUUCUGGAUGAGUUGCGAACGGGUGAGUAACGCGUAGGUAACCUGCCUGGUAGCGGGGGGGAACUAUUGGAAACGAUAGCUAAUACCGCAUAAGAGUAGAUGUUGCAUGACAUUUACUUAAAAGGUGCAAUUGCAUCACUACCAGUUGGACCUGCGUUGUAUUAGUUGGUUGGGGGGGUAACGGCUUACCAAGGCGACGAUUCAUAGCCGACCUGGGAGGGGGAGCGGCCCCACUGGGACUGGGACACCGCCCAGACCCCUACGGGAAGCAGCAGUAGGGGAACUUCGGCAAUGGACGGAAGUCUGACCGAGCAACGGCGCGGGAGUGGAGAAGGUUAUCGGAUCGUAAAGCUCUGUUGUAAGAGAAGGACGAGUGUGAGAGGUGAAAGUUCACACUGUGACGGUAUCUUACCAGAAAGGGACGGCUAACUACGUG
rnacentral:rRNA from 1 species